rnacentral:lncRNA from 1 species
UUUCAGUAUUCCAUCACAAUAUUGGCUAGACUGAUGUGAUAAUUAAGAGCCUGCUUUAGGACAAAUAUGUGCUUCCCCUGAACAGCCAAUAGGUGACGUCUGAUUACCCUGGCCUGUCUUCAGAAAGAAUCCUACCCCUGAUGCUUCCUCUUGGUAAUUUUCCAACCACCGACCUCCUAUGCUGCUCCUCGGCUGUAAAUUUCCACUUGUCUAUGCUGCAUUCGGAGGAUCCACUAUUGUCUCUUUGGGAAAAUAACCUUCUCUCCUAGCAGAGACAUGAAUGGGAGAGGAAAUCAGAUGGAAGAAGAGAACAAGAAGUAUCAGGCAGUAGAAGUCCACAUGGCACUUUCUGAAAUACAGAUACCUAAAUUUCAGAAUUGGAAUGUGACUGCUAAUUCAUAUUUGAAGCUCAAAGUUGUAAAAGACCAAUGAAUUUAGCUAUUCUGAAACUUCACAGAACGGUAAUUAUGAAAUCCACUAGCCACAUAUCUAGUCAUCCAUCCAACAAAGAAAAAGAAAACUUGACCCAAGGAAAUGUACAAUCCAUUUGGUGAAGACAGAAAUUAAACAAUGAAUUCAUUGUAAUCGUGAUAUAUUUUAUUUGAAAGAAAAAACAAAACUUUUAUAGGAGCUAUAACAAGAGCACCUAACUUUGUCCAAAGCCAAAGAUUGGAGGUCAGCGAAAAAUUCUUUGAAGAAAAGAUGUUUAAGCCAUUGCCUGAGAGAUGAGCAGGCAGAAGUCAGGAGAAGAGCCAUGGAAAGUAUAACCAGGCAAGAAGGGCAGCUUGUGCCUGAACAUGAGACAGAGUCAAAGCCAGGAAGGCGAGCAAUAUCAAGAAUGAUGCUGGAGAGGUUGGCAAGUGAAAUGUUGAAGGAUUGUAAGCAGGACCCUGACAUGAUGAGAUUUGAAUAUUGAAGGGCUCACUGUGGCUUCUAUAUGCAAAAUGCAACAGAGGAGAGAGAGAGGCUGCAUUCAGAAUAGAGCUAAAAUGUAAAAUUCCCACCCUCCCUCAGUUCCUAAAGAAAAAUAACUUUGUAAGUUUUAUUCUUUCAUGAUCUCAUAUACCAGCAUUAUAGUUCUGCCUUUUAGAAUAUAUAUUACUUGACUCUGUACUUAAGAAAAAUAUGCCUCAUUUUAAGCAAACUCUCAUUGUAUAGAAAAGAUAAAUGGGAGAGAAAUGAAUAGUUCAAUCUUUGUGUUAUGAACUGAAUUGUGUACCCGACAAAACUCAUAUGUUGAAGUCCUAACCCCCAAUACCUCAGAAUGUGACUGUAUUUGUAAUUACCCCUUUAAAGGGGUAAUUAAGUUAAAAUGAGGCCAUUAGGGUGGGCCCUAUUGCAAUAUGACUUGGUGCUCUUAAGAGAUUAAGACACAGGCAUGCACAGAAGGAAGACCAUGUGAGGACAGAAGGGGAACACAGCCAUUUACAAGCCAAGAAGAAAGGUGUCACAAGAAGCCAGCUAUAAAGACAUCUUGACCUCUGACUUCUAGCCUCCAAAAUUGUGAGAAAAUAAAUUCAUGUUGUAUGAGCCACUGUUCCGUGACAUUUUGUUAUGACAGACCUAGGAAACUAAUAUACUUUGUACGAACACAUCCUUUGUUUAAAGAAAAAAAUAUCACUGUAGGUCUUCUUGGAAAUAUGUGCUCUUAAUGAAUUUGAAAUGCAUUUAUUUCCCAGCAAGAGUCCAA